GAACGUGAAAGGGAGCAAUCCUGAGUAGAGUGGCGUACGGGUGAGUAACGCGUAGGUAAUCUACCCCAGAGUCUGGAAUAACCUGCCGAAAGGCGGGCUAAUACUGGAUAGAGCGACGGAAUCCGUAAUUGGGUUUUUCGGGAAAGGGAGGAAGUAAUUCCCUUCGCUUUGGGAUGAGCCUGCGUCUCAUUAGCUAGUUGGUGGGGUAAUAGCCUACCAAGGCAUUGAUGGGUAGCUGGUCUGAGAGGAUGAUCAGCCACACUGGAACUGAAACACGGUCCAGACUCCUACGGGAGGCUGCAGUGGGGAAUCUUGCGCAAUGGACGAAAGUCUGACGCAGCCACGCCGCGUGAGUGAAGAAGGCCUUCGGGUUGUAAAGCUCUGUCGCCCGGGACGAAAAUCCUAUGAGUGAAUAGCUCAUAGGACUGACGGUACCGGGAGAGGAAGCACCGGCUAACUCCGUGCCAGCAGCCGCGGUAAU
rnacentral:rRNA from 1 species